UAGUUAUGGAACUGGAUAGAAUCUAUGACAUAGAUGUUGUUGUUUUUUUUUUUGUUUUGUUUUUUUUCAAAUUGGGGGCAAUUUUGCCUUUAUUAAAGAUGACAGCAGAGAGCUGACAAAAAAUAGGGAAAGAGAGAUUGCGGAUUACAAGGAAUAUAUUAUAUAAAUUAUAUAUAACCCUACAAUAUCCCUCAACACCUUAUCGAAUGCUGGUAGAAUCAAAAUAACAACACUUCAUGAAAAAGGACACUUUGACGUAACUGAGAACUCCUCUACAAAGAAGUCACGACUGAGGCAGUUGAAAAAGGAAACGAUCUCUCACACACAGCUCAUGUCCAGCAGCACAGUUUUUUCCAUUUUCUUUUUAUAUACACCGUGAAGGACACAGACGAGAGAAAAACAGAUGGCUGGAGGACUGUCUGCACAAAAUGAAGCCAAACAAAGCAGUCAGGGACACAGCCAGAACCUCACUGUCUGCAACACUGUUUCUUGAUAGAAAUAAA